rnacentral:lncRNA from 1 species
CAGACAUUGCAUUAGAAACUAGACCACUCAUAACUUACCCCAGAACUCCUGUACCUGCUGAAGACAGAGUUGGCACCCAUAGUGGGCAGCCAGGUGAUGGAGUGGGAUUCCAGUCUCACCCCUUCGUUCCCAGUACCAUCUGAUCCAUCACUUAUGUAAUUACAGAUGGAGCCAAACUUCUCUCCCUUUAGUUUCUUGUCCCUCACUACAUAUGUAUAGCAAUGAUCUGAAAGCCGACCAAAUGCUGUCUUUCAAAACACCUUCUGAAUUGACACCGCAUUGGACAAUGCUAAAGAGAAGAGUUCAGUUGUUUUAAAGAGAGACAGAGACAGAAAGAGGUGACAAAGUGGGAGAUUCCAGUCAGCUUGGAUAUAGAUGCUUGGUAUCUAUAUCCCCAAGACUGAGAAGCCAUCCAGGAGAACCAUUGGCCUGAGGGAAGGAGGAAGCAGGCAAGCCCGUCAGUAACAAAGCUUGGCUAUUAGUUGGGAAGACAAGAUGACAUUUCUGAGUAUGACCUGGUAUAUUUAGGGAGCUCUACUGGGUAUUUAAGAGACAGCAUUUAUUCCUCUAGACUCAGGGAUAAUUUGCGAGAGAGCUCGCAGGUGGACUUUUCACUUAUGCACGCCUCAUUUGUCUUCCUCUUAUAAGACUGGAAGAUAAUGCUGACUAAUAGCUUCCAGAGGCAAAAUGGUGCCCUCCCCAGAGACUGGAGUGAAGAGAAUUCAAGUGUGUGACCAGAUUUGUUUUCCUGGCGUAUUUACCUCCUGCCCUCAUACACACUCACACCAUUCACAUCAGAGAUGAAAUGGGGAGCUUUAUUUGAAUAAAAGUCCGUCAGGACUUGGUGGCUUACUGUGAGAACAGCUGAAUCUCCUCUCAAGAUAUACUCCUGGUGCACAUGAGAACAGAUGACAUAUUAAACCGUUUCACUUCUGUGGGGUUUAAGUCAUUAAUGUGUUAGAUUGUCAAGUACAAGAAUCAGAAUGUUAGACUUUCAUAGACAGUCUCCCUAAGGACCUUGUUAGAAGCCAUGUGUUUUCACAGUGUAUGUGGAUGCUUUAUAAGGACAGCUAUUAAAAGAUGACCAAUACAAAAGGUCAUCUUGGACACUGGGAAAGAGCUCUAGAAUCCAAAUAAAAAGCAUGUAUUGAGUUCCAGCUUGCAUCAUACCUGCUAUAUGAGCUUGGGCCAGCCAAUUGACUGCUCUGAGCCUCAGUGGCUCAAUUUGUUAAGUGGAGCAAAUCAAAAAGUCUAGGGGAUUAAAUGAGAUAUUUAUAUCUCAAAGUAUAAUACUCUUUCUUGACAUAAAAUGAUAAGGGGUGUGCCAUGGACUGAAUUAUGUCCCCCCAAAAUUCACAUUGAAGCCCUAACCAGCAAGGUGACUGUAUUUGGAGAUAGGGCUUUUAGGAGGUAAUUAGGUUAAAUAAGGUCAUACGGUUGGGGUCCUAAAUCUGAUAGGAUUGGUGGUCUUAGAAGAAGAGGAAGAGAGAGAGACAAGAGGGUCUCUCUCUCUCUCUCUUUCUCCACGUGCACACACCCAGGAAAGGCC